rnacentral:hammerhead_ribozyme from 1 species
AUCCAGUUGACGAGUUCCAGAUAGGACGAAACGUGCGUCCUAUAU